AGUCAAGUUAAUAAGGGCUUACGGUGGAUGCCUUGGCGCCAGGAGCCGAUGAAGGACGCGUCUGGCUGCGAAAAGCCUCGGGGAGCCGCCGAGAAGGCCGAGAUCCGAGGGUGUCCGAAUGGGGAAACCCGGCCGGGGUCAUGCCCGGUCACCCAGGUCUGAAUACAUAGGGCCUGAGGAGGGAACCGCCCGAAGUGAAACAUCUCAGUAGGGCGAGGAAGAGAAAGCAACCGCGACUCCCCAAGUAGCGGCGAGCGAACGGGGAAGAGCCUAAACCGAGACGGUGUGAUAGCCCGGUGGCGUUGCCGUCCCGGGGUCGUGGGACCCGCAUGUACCUGCACCGGUGGGUACGAGGAGUUACAAAACCGGCACGUAGACGAAGGCCAUGGAAAGGGCCGCCACAGCAGGUAAGAGCCCUGUAGUCGAAACGCGACCGGUCUCCUAGCGGGGAUCCCGAGUAGCACGGAGCUCGUGGAAUUCCGUGUGAAUCUGGAGGGCCCACCCUCUAAGGCUAAGUACUCCCUGGCGACCGAUAGUGAACUAGUACCGUGAGGGAAAGGUGAAAAGCACCCCGGGAGGGGAGUGAAAUAGCACCUGAAACCGUGAGCCUACAAGCUGUCGGAGCCUUCGCUGGGUGACCAGCGGGGGUGACGGCGUGCCUUUUGAAGAAUGAGCCUGCGAGUUAGCGGUGUGCGGCGAGGUUAACCGUUCUCGGGAAGCCGAAGCGAAAGCGAGUCCGAAAUGGGCGUACAGUCGCACGCUCUAGACCCGAAGCCGGGUGAUCUAUCCAUGGGCAGGCUGAAGCGAGGGUAAGACCUCGUGGAGGGCCGAACCCACCAGGGUUGAAAACCUGGGGGAUGACCUGUGGUUAGGGGUGAAAGGCCAAUCAAACCCGGUGAUAGCUGGUUCUCCCCGAAAUGCCUUUAGGGGCAGCCUCGGACGUUCAGCAUCGGAGGUAGAGCACUGAUUGGGCUAGGGGGCCUACAAGCUUACCGACCUCAGUCAAACUCCGAAUGCCGAUGCUCAAGAGUCCGGGAGUGAGGCUGCGGGGGCUAAGCUCCGUAGCCGAGAGGGAAACAACCCAGAUCGCCAGCUAAGGUCCCGAAGUUCGUGCUAAGUGGGAAAGGAUGUGGGAUCGCACAGACAACCAGGAGGUUGGCUUAGAAGCAGCCACCCUUGAAAGAGUGCGUAACAGCUCACUGGUCAAGUGGUCCUGCGCCGAUGAUGUAACGGGGCUCAAGCACGACACCGAAGCUGCGGGAUCCGUCGUAUGGCUCGGCGCCCAGGGGAGGCCCUGUGCGUCCAGGCCGGCGGAUCGGUAGGGGAGCGUUCUGACGCGAGUGAAGCGGCGGGGUAACCCAGCGGUGGACGCGUCAGAAGUGAGAAUGCAGGCAUGAGUAGCGAAAGACGGGGGAGGAGCCCGUCCGCCGAAUGCUCAAGGGUUCCUGGGGAAGGUUCAUCCGCCCAGGGUUAGUCGGGACCUAAGCCGAGGCCGAGAGGCGUAGGCGAUGGACGACUGGUUGAUAUUCCAGUACCACCUCAUCCGCGCCCAGCCCGAAUCCGGGGCACUAAGGGAACCCCUUCGGGGGCUACCGACCAACCUGGUAGUAGGGCAGCGAAGGGGGGACGCAGGAGGGUAGGUCGACCCACGCGAUGGUCGUCGUGGGGCAAGUGUGUAGGGGNNNNNNNNNNNNNNNNNNNNNNNNNNNNNNNNNNNNNNNNNNNNNNNNNNNNNNNNNNNNNGAAGCGACCGAUCCCAUGCUGCCGAGAAAAGCCUCUAGCGAGUGGUUGAGGUGCCCGUACCCCAAACCGACUCAGGUGGGCAAGUAGAGAAUACUCAGGCGAUCGAGAGAACCCUGGUUAAGGAA
rfam:Actinobacteria bacterium RBG_19FT_COMBO_70_19 rbg_19ft_combo_scaffold_327, whole genome shotgun sequence.